GAGGUCUGGUUUGGGUGCCCAUCAGCAUUCUGUGCAGAUGCGCUACAGCUGUUCGGGCCUCUGCAGGAGGGCUGCAUCCUGGGCUCCGACUGCAGUCAGCAGCAUAGAGCUGGGGUCUCAGGCCUCGAGGCUGGAGGUCACCAGGGAGGCAUGGGGCAGGAGGGAAUCAGCCCUGAGUCCCAGGGUGUCAUAGUUAGGAAGCAGG
rnacentral:lncRNA from 1 species